GACGAACGCUGGCGGCGUGCAUAACACAUGCAAGUCGAGCGAUGAAGCUUCUUCGGAAGUGGAUUAGCGGCGGACGGGUGAGUAACACGUGGGUAACCUGCCUCAUAGAGGGGAAUAGCCUUCCGAAAGGAAGAUUAAUACCGCAUCAGACUGUAGUACCGCAUGGUACAUCAAUUAAAGGAGCAAUCCGCUAUGAGAUGGACCCGCGUCGCAUUAGCUAGUUGGUGAGGUAACGGCUCACCAAGGCGACGAGGCGUAGCCGACCUGAGAGGGUGAUCGGCCACAUUGGGACUGAGACACGGCCCAGACUCCUACGGGAGGCAGCAGUGGGGAAUAUUGCACAAUGGGGGAAACCCUGAUGCAGCAACGCCGCGUGAGUGAUGACGGUCUUCGGAUUGUAAAACUCUGUCUUCAGGGACGAUAAUGACGGUACCUGAGGAGGAAGCCACGGCUAACUACGUGCCAGCCGCCGCGGUAA
rnacentral:rRNA from 1 species